rnacentral:lncRNA from 1 species
AAGUAUCAAAUAUAUAAAACUAAUAGCUAUUACAAGCAUUCACUUACUAAAUCUCUGAUACAUUUUACUUCCAAAAUACAAUCUAAUUAUUACAUCAUUUACAAGUUUGAUACAUUUUCUUUUCUUGACUUCUAGACCCCUAAGCUAGACUGUCUCAGGGUGCUGCUACCUCGGUCUCUGUGGUGGGGCGCUAUCUACUCAGCUACGCCCUCGCCUCGCGCCGCCGCGUCGCACACGAACGACCUGAAAACCCCAAAACAACGUGGGGUGAGAACCAACUCCAUGGUUCCCAGUGGGUACGGCCACCCAAGCGAAAAGCUCGACCGAUAGGUCCGAGGAGGCACUGCAACAUGUUAGCUCAACAAUAUACAACAGAUAUAUAUACAAUUGAAAUACAUGCCAUGCCUCACGAUGUGCGAUAUGAAAAUCAUGCAACUCUAUGCAACAACUAGUAGAUCAUUGGAUUCUACAUUUACUUGGCUCCUCUUAGCUCAUAUCUUUACUCUAAGGUCUCCAUUGACCUAGGAUUUCACUCAGUCACUGGCGUUCUUAAGAGUCGUCUAUUACUUAGCAUCAAGCCAAUUCUAUCUGUUUAGUCAUCAUAGGUUCUCUACUACCUAUCGAUGCCUAACCACCAGACUCGGCUUCGAGAUUAAUCAUUCGGCGGAUAGCACCAACGCACCGGGGGCUGAUCGAGAUCUACCGCCUCUCGUCCCUAGGGCGGCGAACGUUCCGUCAGUCACACUGGGAAGCUCGUGGCUGCAGGAGGUGGGCGGGACUGAGCGUUGACAUCUGUGGCGAUCGGGUUGCUUGGGGUUAGGCCGGCGGGGGUUGGGGGGGUUGGCGUGGGUGGCGGUGACACGGGGGGCGGGUCGGGGGGCGAGCAGAACGGAUCGCACCAACACCAAUACAACGGGGUGUGACAUGUGCGAUAUCAGCACCUGGAGGCUUCCCGGAUUGGUUACUGACCGCAUGGAUUCAACGCCUGGGGCUGGGCGGGGGUUUCUGGUGUGGAGUGGGGUGGGAGGACGAUAUCCACGGCGGCGAGUGGACGGCACAGGCACGGCAAUGGUUCAAGCCGGCAGGUUGAGUCUCCCAUUGGUCAGCGCCCAAUCUACCACGAGUACCAAAAGCUCGCGGCGAAGCGUCACACACCGCCUAGCUGUUAUAGGACAUAAAAAGUUGGGAUCCGUGAUACACUUUCCACAGGUCGAGGGUUUAACCAACCCUUAUAUCAUCGCACUGAAACUUAUCCUAGUUGGCUAUACACUAUAUUAAACUAUUAAACCUAUGUUCAAGGACUCUAGGUUCUAUUCAUGUCAUUACUUAGAGGUCACUUGCUUAGGGUUCUUUGUCAUCUUGGCCUUUAGAAUGUCAAAUUCUAGGUUUAUACGUUGACUAGCGUUCGAAUAACAUAGGUUCGAUGCACACAAUUAGAAUUGAUUCGACUUGGUUACUAUUCAAUCUAUGUUUCUUUAAAACUAAGGUUAGAUGCCACUCGAUCUUACCUGACGAACCUAGUUGUCAUCAAACUUUCAAACUAGAGUUUUAACUCAUGCUUCAGUGGCCAUUUAAACUCUAUGUCUCUUGGUCAAAUUAGUAUUUCAUUAUGCAUAUUAUUAUAUUAGUAUGCAUCGUUUACAUUGGAUAGAUUAUAAUACAUGUCAUGAUUAUUAUUCUUGUAACUUACUAAUAUUCUCUACUUAUCUUUACGCAUUAUCGUCAAUCAUGCAUUUUAGUAUGUCCUGUGUCUACAUGCACGUGCUAUCAAGAUGGAGAUUACUUGCUAGACUAAUGUAAGAAAUCGAAUUCGGACGACGUUGGUAACCUUGGACAAAUGGGCAAAGUGUGCGAGUUAAACAGUUGACGAUAAGUUCAUUACGGUAUAUUCAACAAGUUAUUGACGGAAGUAAAAUAAAACAAAUUUCAAAGGUGUUGGAAUGGUUGACAGUCGCAUAGGCGCGAAGUCAGAAGCGAAACGAGUGAAAACAGCAUUUCUGGGGCUUUUGCGCUUUGAGGCUGCCAGGUUAUUUUUCCGGACAAGCGAGGUUGUACGAGUCAAGCAUGGCCGCAACAAAGAUCAACAGAGUCUUGGUUUGGCGUCUCCAUGGCUUGUACGAAACAAGGGAUUUGUACGGCGUACAAGCCACUGCGCAAACGAGAAACGGAGACCCGGGUUGAGUGUUGCCAAGCUUGUUUAUCGAGGUCAAAGGAACCUUGUACGGGUUACAAGGGACCCGAAACUGCAGGUCAAGGUUGGAAAAAUUAGAUUUAUUGAGGGGCUUUUGGGAUUUGUUACUAUAGUAGUGUUAUAUCCUUUUCGUCGACUUUUCCCUCUUUCAUAUCAAGCUUCUCUCUCUCUUAGCUUUCUCUUCGAACGGUGAUUUGAAGGAGAAGAAGGAGAAGAAGAAGAAGAAAGAGGAAGAUAAGAAGAUGUAAGAGAGGAGAGAAGCGAAGGAGAGGAUAAGGAGGAGAUUAAGCAAAGCUUCUUCUCCUCUUCUCAUCAGCUAAGUUGAUUUGAGCAACCCUAGAGGUAAGCUCAUAACCUAGUUUUGGUUUCUGAGGUUUGGAUGAUUUUUGUUGUUUUAUUGGUUCAAAUGGAACCUUAUGACGUAGGAUAAUCGGGUCAUAAAGCUCACAUUGAGGAAUAGUAUCAUGGUUUUAAUAGAUGGCUAAACUUAGUUUGGGAAAGGUUUGUUACUUAGAAUGGUUCAAAUAGCGAACGCAUUGAGAGAUUAUGAGAAGGUUCAAUUCCAAAUUUGGAGCUAUGAAACGGAUGAUUAUUCUUUGUUGCCUAACCUAGGGUUAGAUUUGGCAGUUUUUCGGAAAUAUUAGGUGUGAUUUCUUUUUUGAGGGUUAGAAACCUUAAUUCGUUAUGCUCCACGCGUAGGGAAAAGACGGUUCGCGGUACGAAACGAUCGACGAAGAUAUCGCCAAAGGGGUGGCUCUUCUGAGGUUGAGUUUUGCUCGACGAGUUCAGGCGGCGUAAAGGAACGCUGUUUAGCUUUCGGCGCUACCAAAGGUGGUGGUGACCAUCGAAGCAAUGGGCUACUUUUUAUGAUCUAAGUUUCUAAAAAUUUUGAUCAAGCAUAUUGGUCACGUGCUGUCACGCCAAUGUUGGACAGUUCGGGUUGAACAGAUCGCCGAACGUUAAGUUUUUCCCCUAUUCGCCAAGGGUAACAAAGUCCAUGCCAAUUACAAUCUAAAAACAAGAGAUAUUAGCAUUCACUUUGCUGAGGGAUAUCAAGACACAAUGAGAAGAAGCUACUUACUAAACAUUUUCCAAUAGAGUCUUAACAACUUUAAUUACUCUGUUAUUAAAACCUGCAAUUUAACAUACACAUACAUUCUCUUUCCCAAAGGUUUUUACAUUCAUUAUUCUUGCUUAUACAUAGGGGAGAAUGUUAGCGAUGCUUAAUGUUCGUAUGGUCAUCUUAUCUAGGUCGACGAUGCCAUUGCCGCGAUGCCUCGACGCACGCGCUCGUUUACUAGGUCUGUAAAACAGGGUUGUGAGAACUAAGCAAGUUCCAGUGGGUUUCGGCGCCGACCGCGUAUUUUCCCACUAGGUCAGAAAGGAAUAGAACAUAAAGGAGCAUAAUAUGUCAAAGAAAUAAAUAGAUAUAAGCAACAGUUACUUGCUCAUUUCUAAUCUAUAUCAUGCUCAAAUGUGUAGCUAUGCCGUUUACUAAUAUGUCAACAAGUAUGAUUUAAGUUCUUCCUGUAUGCAAAGAUAAUAUGAUAUGCCACUGAUUCAUGCCUUUGACCGAAGUCCAAUCGAUUCGCGAAGAUCGAACCAUCGACAAUGUCACGCAGACGUGACGUCGUGCGGGAGAGGCCCCUGUAUUUAUUAGCAAUGUGAUACAAUCCGGGCUCACUGUUUGGAGUCGCGACCUCACAAGCAAUAUAAAGACAAAGCUGAGUAUUCAUCAAGUCCUAUCAACAAGGCUGCUCAGAUCCUGGCAAUAAUGAUAGGAGUUUCAAUCGUCAAGUCAUUGGUUCACAUUUUAAUAUGUUCUUAUAAUCUAGUUUUCUCACAUCAUAUCCACAUGAUUAUGUCAUAGCAACUCAUGGUAUAUGUAUACAUUAACUUAUUGAUCAUAUAUAAUGGUUUCAUGCAAUACCAUGUCAUAUUAUUGAACAUCAUGCAAUUAGAAUUUCCUACAGAUAUAUGCAUAUUGGCUAUAUCCUACACUAGAUGAAAUAUUCACAACUCUAGGAUUCUCAAUAUUCCUAAACAUGAAUGAUAUAUGUUCAAAAAAAUAGUAGGAACUUGCAUAGAAUGAAACCGGCUAAUUUGGAUAGCACCCACCUUGUACGUGUCGACACAAAGCGGGUAAUAGCCUCAGCUAGCCGAUUUCGCUGUCGAUUUCUAUCGAUGUCCAAACCAGCUCUCUUCAAGAAAUGGGUGAGAAGAGGAAAGCUCCACCUCAGUAAGUUUUUCCACCAAAUCCUCCACUUUUGGAGUAACAUCUAGAGAUAGGAGAGAUGACGAGUUUAGAGAGGGAAAGGAAGUUUCUCUUUUUGGUUAAGGGUAGGAAAUGAGAGAAAGAGUCCAAGUCUAUUAUAUUUAUAUAUAAAUAGGAACUUAGCCUCCAAGUUAGGAAACUUAAGGCCUCAAGUUAGCCCAACUUUUUUUUUAGUUUAUUUUUACCCAAGUAACUCUUUAACUUAUGCAUAUGGAACUUACCCCAAGUAAGCACCUCAUUCACAUAGAAUAAGUCUAUAAAACUAGUAUUUUCACUUAUUUUUAUUACUUUAUUCUAUGUUAAUUCAGGGUACAACUCACAUUAUUGAUGCAUUUUCAUUAGUUAUGAGAUGCCGUGAUCAAUUGCCUAUAUUUGCAUCGAAGUAGAAAUGGUUGCUUGCUUUGGGUUGUUCAAUUAAUCGCUAGUAUGCUUGACAAAUGUAUGAUUGAAGUUAUAACCCUAUAUGGAUGAUUAAUGUUAAUGUUGCUAUAAGAAUGUAUGAUGAAAUUAAGUGAUUGAUUAAUGGGUCUAAAUGAGAGUGGAUCUAUUUAGAUUAACAAUGAAAGUUGGUAUCUAUGAUAGAAAUAUGGUGAGUGGACAAUUCAUAUUUGUCAACUAUGAAUGUAAUACUUUAGUGUAGUGAUUAACACUAUUGUGAUGGGUACAAUGACCUUGAUCCAAGAUGAGUUCUCCUUUGAGGGUAGGGUUACUGUUGUUGAGUUGAUCAUGCCCUCAAUAGCAUGUCCGCUUGGUUUGGUCGCUCCACAGCUGUGCUCCGGAGGCUUGGUACUAGAGGACAGUCAGUGCUGCUGUCUGAAAGCGAGUCUGUGUGCUCCCCAGGCCGGUAUCGGAUGUUGAGAGAAUCAAUUCGUGAGAUAUGUGUGUAACCUGUGUUCCAUUGAUGAUUUGUUCCUAUUUGAGUCUACUCAUAUAUUUGUUGUUCAUGAAUAGCUUGUUGUUUAUUAGUCACCUUACGUAGCUGUUGUAGACGUUUAUAGUAUUUUACCCAGCUUUAUUUUUGUCAUACAGAUGUUUUCAUUUUGAGCACAUUUUAAGAUAUUUAGUUUCCGUACCUGCUUCGUUACUGCUUGAUAUAUUAUACCCUAUUGCAUACAUUAUCUGUGCCUGCUUAAGACCUAGUGGGUAGAUCGGCGAAGUCGGCGGCCGAACCCACUGGGAACUAUUCGUAGUUCUCACCCCCGUGUGGUUUUGGGGGUACAGGUACACAGGACAGCGGGCCUUCAUCGACGGAUCGCGGUAAGGUCAUAGCGCCCUACCUUUUGGUAGAUAGCCUACUUUACCUACUUGCAUUAGCUCUACCCUGUACCUAUGCUUUUACAUUUUGAGAGUAGAUGUUGUAUAGGGUGAGGUUUUGGAGCGCAUAUGAUGUAUUUUCAUUUUGGGAAAGAAUGCAAGUUGUAUUAAACGAUUAAAGUUUAAAUGAUAUCGAAAGAGGUUAAAUAUUCAAUCAUGUCUUAAAUAGUUAAGCUCUCUCUUUUGUAUACUUGUAUGCUUCUUACUUGUAUCACUUGCUCUUGUUGUUAAAUAGCACUGGUUGUGCUCUCGUUUACCGUUGCUUGAUUGUGUAAGAAUUCAAGUUGUAUUCCUGGGGACUUGUUGUACACAAUCUGGUUGGUUAGCCUUGGGCGGACAGGGGAGACUCUGUCCGUUCGGCGGUCACGCACGCCGCCCUCGAACCGGAUCAAAUUGGUACCGUUUCGGGUGGUGCGGUCGUGGGCCGUGACACAUAAAGGGCGACCUAGUCGCUUCGGUAAGCACAACCCACCUUAGAUAGCUUUUCCGAUUGCUCGUCGACACUUGCAAUCGGCCUCCGGCGGCACUCGGCACCCGUUUGGGCCCGAUCUCACAGUUUCUCCCCUCGAGCAUGCCGCUUCACCGUUUCAAGUGCUAGCGAUCUUCGCCUCGCCGCUACGGUGCUCGGGACCUGAUUUCACAAUUUAUAGAUGUCACCUCGGCCUCCCAGGCGGAAAUGAAGCUCCGAGCGCCCGUUUCUUCAAUAUCUUCGCAACGGCUUGUCGGAUUGCUGAACCGAUUUCGCCAACGUGUUUCGUUACCUACCAAUUAGGUUUACGAAGGGUCAAAUGAGAUCAAACUCAUCUAUUUACAAAAACCCCCAUGGAUGCCCUAGAAUGCCAUCACCAACAAAUCCACCAAAUCCAUCUAUGAAAUGGGGUGAAAUCAUCUUAGAGGCAUGCUAGGGUUCCUCUAAAUCCAUUUCUAGGGUUUAUAAACCCAUCUACAAGGAACUAUUACAAGAAGCCAUGAAACUUACCUCUUGAGAGAGCUCCAAAAUGAGAAGAAGAUGAAUAUGAAGAUGAGGGAGAGGAUCUCCUACUUGGUCCUCAUCAUCUUCUCCUUUUCCUUCUCUUUUUCUUCUUCUCUUUUCCUUUUCUCUUUUCUUUCUUUCCUUCUUUUCCCCUUCGCACGAUCAGAGGGAGAGAGAGAGAGAGAGGCUGAGGGAGUGAGAGAGAGAGAGGAAAAGAUCUCUCUCUAAUACCCUCUCUCAUUUUGUAACAAUAUCCCCAAAGGCCCCUCAACUUUUCGUCUCUUACACAGUCCUUACUGGGCGUUCUGCGCCCGGAGGGACCGGCCUCCCUGACCAGGGACCGGUCCCCGGGGCCUCCUCCCCGCGGACACGCGUUCAGGAACCGGUCUCUCCCUGAGAGACCGGUCCUCGGGAGACCGGUUCCUCUCAGAGAGACCGGUUCCCGAGAGCUACUCUUUCGGGACCUAGCCGAUUUUCGGCUCUUCUCGCGGGUGUCGCAGGCUGCGACCGGUCCCUCCCCUGCCAGGGACCGGUUGCAUCAGCAACCCCACAGCCUCCAGCUGAUGGGACCGGUCUCUCACCUGCAGGGAUCGGUCCCCGAGAGCAACCUCAGCCCAAAAUGCAGAUUGCAUUAUUUGCUCUCGCGGACUCCAUUCCAAUGCACUUCUUGGAUCUUGUGCAUCCUAAGCUUUUCCAAAGCUUAUCAACUCGACCAAUAGUCGAUCUCGGACGAAGUGCAACCCUCAGAUUUCGAGGAUUCACAUUGUUACAUUCUCCCCUCCUUAGAAAGAGUUUCGUCCGCGAAACUCACUCAUUUCUAACCCCUUUUAUUCCUCGACCCACUUCUCGAGUACUCAAGGGUUCUAAUGCACUUUUGCACCUCGGAGUGGCCUUUAUUCUCAUCGAUCUCAUCAAAAGGCCCACAACGAAGAAUGUGAGACCACAUUUACUCACAUUUUCCACUUGCAAUUUCAAAAGUGCAUUACCACUUUAUAAAUCUCAAUGUUGGUGUGAGUCAAUACUCAAGACUCCACACUCUAACAUCACUAGCCACUCGGCUUAAGGAAGGACUCAUUCCUUCGCGGCUCUAACGAACAUCAUCUCCCGUCGAGAUCAGGGCUACCCCUUCAUCCCAGUGGUGUGGAUCCAGCAAAAUCACAUCAAUUCGACGGACGAUCCACCACCACAACUUAUGCGUAUGGGUAGAUUUUCUCAACUAUUCAAGUACCCACCAGGUGGCACUUCACCAACUUGAACAUUUGAUUGUUUGGUAUAGCAUUUAUCAUCUCAUCCAUACCAUCUCACCUGUACCAUCUUAUGGUACCGCCUUAUCCUCUUGCACAUCUGAGAUUCCCAAUUCUCACGUGGCUAUGCAUCAUUCCAGUGUCUCCUAGAGACCACUUUGCUUUCUCUUUGUCCUUUGACGUUUUAGGCCACGUUCAUCACCACGCGAACCCUCCGUUCGCGGAUCUAAGUCCAACUCACUAUUAGAGUUUUCGGCUAUACCGACCAUCGGUUUCCUCAGGCGGACUAAGGCCACCAAUCCUGCGUAGGUCAAUCACCUAGCUCGUCUCAACAACACCUAGCGUCUCUCGCUCGCAAGUGUAGACCCAACCAUCAUCGGGCGACAUUCUCAUUGGAGAAUUCGCACACACUCCAACCAGGAGUAUCCAAGUCCUCAAACUCUGUCAAAUCCUCGGGUCGGGUCACUACACACUCGUGUACUAUCGAUCUCAUGAUCCAACGCGUGGCACUCCACGCACUCGGGUCUAAGCUCGGACUACCGUCCUGACCAGAACUCUCCGCCCUACCUACAGGUAUCGGGCCGCUGUCUCUCACAACUGCCUGCGCCUGCCCAAUGGGCCCAGGCUCCACAAAUGGUCCAGGCACGGAUCGUCCCCAAGCACUACCCGCCAAUGUCAUCCUGUACGAUACGCUCUACUGAGCUACACUCUCUCUGCUCCUAGGCACCUAGUGCGAGCCACCAGCCCUCAUGAGUGAUCUAUGGCCCGCUUCACACUUAGCCCUGCUAAUGUGCCACUGCCAAUCCACUCGGCCGGCUGAAUCAAAACCGCACCUCAUGAAUAACUAUACUCGAGCGCUCUACGCCCCUACAGCGUCUCACACGAAGUCUGGCAUCAGGCAGCUUAGCCUAUGCGCACCGGCCACACGAGCAACAACUCGUCUACCUCAAUUCGAGAUACUACUAGGCCCACAGGCCAAGUUCGGCACUAAUCGACCAAUUUCGCAAUAGUGGUUCAUCACCAUUGUUCGAUCUACCAAAUCCACAUCUGAAUCACCCUUGGGGUAUUCGGGUGUCCCCAAACCUCAAGGCUCAACUCUCGCAAUCUCUAAUCCAUUGCUUCGAGAGUCCUUUACUAGAUCGCGUUCGCCACGAGUCCCAUCCUCGUCCAAGAACCCUUACUAGCCAUUUGCUAGUACCACUUGGUUCUUUACCUGCUCCAGCAGGCGUCACAUUCUCACCGCAUAAGCAUGCUCGGGUGUCUACCUACCCGACCACUCGGUCCCUACUAUACAAUGUAUAAUAGUAGCAACUGACCAUACGAUAAAUGCAUGCUAUGCCUCAACCUGAUAUCAAAUAAUAGCAUAUGCUUUCUUUAAUUAACUCAUACCUGUCACGACGUCGUCGGCAACGGCAGGCACCACAACUCGGGUCGCUUAUUCAUGGCCACUUGGCACUCUCCGCGAACCCUCUGGUUGCAUCAUUCUCAACGGCCGCUCCCCCGACCAUGCCGUAGGUGGCACACCCGCCGGCUGUCUCAGAGAAGAAUAGGCCGUCGCGAGUGUCAGGGCCCGGUUAUCACCCUGCGGACACUCGUCACGCACAUGGCCCGGCAGUCCACACUUGAAGCAUUUGCCCUCGCGCUGCUCACAUUGCUGUGGAAAAUGGGGGCCUCCACAAAUUACACAUCUCGCCGAGGACCGAAUGUGAUACGUCCCCGGAGCUCUAGAUCGAGAGCGCGCCCUCACUGAGGUCUGCUGGGAACUCGACUGACCAUCAUGUUCAUUCACUGGCCGUCCCUUCCCCUUCUCCUUGUAAUGCUUCUCGCGCUUCUUCCGCAGGAAUGCAUUGCCUUGUUCUAUCCACAAGGCUCGAUUCAGGACUACAGCGAAAGUCUGCAACUUAAGUACCUGCACUGCCAGGUACAAGUCCGGCCGAAGCCCUCGCACGAAGCAGUAAGCCUUGUCCUCGUCAUCCCGCACCACGUUCGGGACACAAUGCACGAUACGGGAAAAUUUUCGCUCGUAUUGCCUAACCGUGCGACUUCCUUGUCGCAGCUUAAGGAACCUUUCCUUGAGCUUUCGCUUUUCACUAUCGGGAAAAUAAGCAGAGAAUAUCAUUCCCCGAAACUCUUCCCAUGUCAUAGGACCUAACAGAAAUAAGCAGAGAAUAUCAUUCCCCGAAACUCUUCCCAAGUCAUUGGAGGGAGACUAGGCGGUCGAUCUCGCUUGACGCCUUUCCACCACACCUUCGCCGACUGUUUGAGGUAAUGCACGGCUAGGUUUACCUUGUCCCGCUCCAACGUGUACAGAUCCUCGAAGAGUGUUUCUAUGGAAUCGAUCCACAUCUCAACGACCCACGGAUCUGCAUCUUCUCCAUCAAAGGUAGGCGGAUCAAAUUUCUUGAAAGUCAUGAGGGCAGCCAAAGCUCGCUCCCUUUCCGCCGCAACCUCUGGGCUAACAAGGGUCGGGUCGCCCGACCCUGACGGAAACAACUCUGCCGCAACUCCAGGCUGUCCUCGACCAACCGCAGCUGGUGCUGCCACCAGCCGAUCCAUGGUCUCUUGGAGUCGUUCCAUUCGCUCCUCCUGGCGCAUGGCGGCCUCCUGCUGCCGCUGCACCACAUCAGCUUGUUGCCGCAUCACUCCAAUGAGUGUGGCCAACUGAUCACGAAGCUCUGCACCUUCGCUCGCGUCGGUUUGCUCAGGGGCGCCACUUGUCCCCUCCCGCGCCGAUCUGGAUGAAGAUCGUCUACGCGGUGGCAUCGUUUCCUGAAAUAGGACAACUCGAUUAGUUCUCGACCGACUCGGGUCGAACACGUGACCACUAACACGACUCAAGAGCCAAUCAAGCGAAAGUCAAACAAGGACGUCUAUUCUCGUCUCUCGGCUUUAUGUUGUGGGCGCCCAACAUAACACACUGGGUCGAGAAUAAACCAUACCUUGAGUCUACCUCUAAUAUCCGUCUUAGAGGUUACGACACAACCCAAUCCAUUACCUUUCGCCACGAAUCACAAGUCCUCGUCUCUCACGAGCCUCAUUCUCCUAUGGUUUUACUAUCCUAGGGUCUCCUAGGUCAUCUAAACUAUUUUUCCAUUCUCUACUUUAUGCUCUGAUACCACUUUAACUGUCACGCCCCGCGACCAACCACCAAUUUGGACCGGGUCGCGGCGCCGCCGACAGACCGCCGAACGGACCGGGGAUUCCUUUGCACGCGGACAGAGUCUCCCCAGUACGUCCAAGGCGUCGCAAUCCAAACAAUCAGCAAAUGUUCCAACCAGGAACGGAUAUCAAUCCAGAUUGCAUAAGGAAGUAUCAAAUANGUUUUACAUCACAGUUUCAGUUUACAUUUUUACUUCCGAAUUACAAUCUCACUAUUACAUCAGAGUUUACGAGUUUGAUACAUUUUCUAUUCUUGUCUUCUAGACCCCUAAGCUAGACUGUCUCAGGGUGCUGCUACCUCGGUCUUUGCGGUGGGGCACUAUCUACUGAGCUACGCCCUCGCCUCGCGCCGCCGCGCCGCACACGAACGACCUGAAAAUCCCAAAACAACGUGGGAUGAGAACCAACUCC